ACGAGCAGGAGGCUGACGAUAAAGCCACACCAUCAGCAGCUCACCGCACAACGCAACACACUCGCCGAUCGAGGAGCCAACUGAUGAGAGAGAGCUAAGCUACUGGAGUAGUCCGUUAGUAGUAGUAGUAGGAGUAGCUUUUUCCCAUGCGCCGAGGCGACGACACGCUGCCUCCUCCUUCUUCUCCUCCUCAUCCUCUAGUAUAUUGUUGAAGUAUACCUCGAAGCUUCCUGUCUUCAAUCUUCUGAUCGAUCCAACCUCGCUCGUCCAUGGCGCGAGGAUCUACUCUUCUUCUACCUCAGGUUCAGGUUGAUUUCUUGCCCGGCCAGCCGACGAAGAUUUGGUUGGUUAAUUUGCUCGCCGGCCGGCGGUGACAACGAGAGAGAGCACGCCGGUGCGGCGGUCACGGUGAGCCGGCCCGCGGCGGCGUACCUGCGUGCUUUCUCCCGUUGUCACUGCCAUACACACAUAUAUGCUCUCGCUCGCAUGCACAAGCUCAGCUUCUCCUCUCAGUCUCACUGGUGAGUAUACUUACUCAACUCAAUCACCAAUUCACCAUACUUAGCUAUAUAUAGUUAUAUGUACCCCCAUCCCCUAAAUGUUCUCUUAUUGUUUAUGCUGUUGUGACUAAUCAAUUUCAACCGCAUAUGCAUGCAUAUGGUUUUGUUUCCUUCAUCUUUAGUGAGCCUUUUCGCAUGAAAAUUCUUUGAAGACUUCUCCACACGAUUUGUUUUUUUCUGUUGACCUUUCCACAUCAGUAAUCUUUUUUUCUUUGAGAAAGGUUGCUUAUGUGCAUAUACUAUUUAUUAGUUCGUUUGGAGCAAAAUGGAGCUUAUAAAUCAUGUCCAUCACCUUAGUUUUACAGAUUCAUAAGAUAAAUAUUUCGCUAUUUUUUGUUAAGAACUUGAUGGCAUAAUUUCCCCUAAUUACUUUCAUGCGAACUUUGUUCAGUAUUUUAUCUACUGAACUCAUCGUUUACAUUAUAUUGUUGCAUGCAUUAGUACUAGUACUAGUAUUAGGCAAGUGCAGGACCACAUGAAAUUUUAAGGUUAUGAUCAGACUCCUAGGCACUCUCUGCUAACUCAACUAAACUUGCAGAGUAAUUAAUGCAGUACUGCUCCAUCAUUAGUGGCUCAGUGCUGGUUAUUCUUGGACUAUAUGAAUUUAGUACUCCAUCCGUUUCUAAAUAUAGGUCAUUUUGGAGUUAUUUACACUUCUUUAGAUAUAAGACGAUAUAGGACUUUUGAUUCUGCACUUGUACCCAAUUUUUCCUCUUACCUUUGCUAAUUGAGAUCACUACCACUCUGAUGUAUAGAAAAUGGUGUAUCAUUUCAUUUCCAAUGGAUAAUAACUGCAGGGAAACAAGUUUAUUUUAGCACACAUUUCUUAGUUCUUGUGCAUGCACAACUUCAACAUUUGGAAUCAUAGGCGGGAGUACGAAUUAUAAUUUGCUUUGCCAUUUUGAACCAACUUUAGUUUGUAUUUGGGACGAGAUAAAUUUUGUUUUGGCUCUUCAUGGUAUGUGUGAUUGCUGUUGCAGUAACUCUGCACUUAUGUGAUCAUGGCAUACUGUUUUUUUAAUCCAUACUGAGCAUACAACAUGUACAUGCACAAUGUACAACACUUAGCUCUUGGACUUUGAAAAGGUUGAUCUUUAAAUUAGUAUGGUUCUUCACUGUUCAACCACUUCCAUGGAGAUAGGCAAGGUCAAAAUGUAAUGCAUUAAAACAUUGUACAAUCAGGCCCACAUAAGUUUUCUUUUGUCAUCACCCUUACGGAAAUGAUACAAUGGAGAAAAAGACGUUUUCCAUAUUAUUCUAAUAUUUACUCUUGAAUCCAAUAAGAUUGACACAAUUGAGAACCCAAAUUCAAUUAUAUUGCCCUAACAUAAUUGAUUUAUGAGAUUGAGUUAAAGCAACUUGCUCUACAAAAUUAGCAUUAUCGUACCUUCUAUGGAACUUUUUCAGCAUUUUAUUGGGGAAGGAUCACUAUUGUUUCUUUUUUUAAAAAAAACAUGGUAAACAAUUAUUUGCUGUCGAUUUUUGUGAUAGGAUAAAUAGAAAGGAUGAAUCUAGUUACAUUUGAUCCUAAUAGUCAAUCAUAAAUAAUCAAUUGAAUUUUAAUAUUAAUUAUAUUUAGAUAUUGUAUCCAUUGGCGAUAUUAUCUCAACUCCAAACUGGAAACAAAUAAGAUAGGAAAUUAAGUACUCCGUAUGGUGUAGAGGCAAACUGAAUUGUGAGGAUAGCCUGCUAACAAGUUGUGCCCCUUUUGCUUUGACAAAUUCUUGACACCUCGGUGCACUCCAAAUUCUUCUUUUUCUUUGGAUUGUUAUUCUGACUUCGUUGGAAAUGUACAGUUUUGAUUUCCAACUUUUUUGCUUGGUCUAGUCUUGUAACUUCCAAUGUAAAGUUUUCAGAAUUCUAUUCUCAACCUUUCCUGCAUUCCGCAGGACGCCUUGAUGAUUUUAUCAUUGACACUGUUUUGCACACUUUUAUUUGGCAGUUAGAUUUUUUUUCCUUGAGAAAAGAAAGGUCAUUACGCUUCUAUGAAUAUUGUUUUAUUACGCUUCUUAAAUGACCUAAAAUAUAGUUCAUAGGCACUUCUUUAUUUAAGGGGACAUACUUUCAUAUGUUUUUGACAGAUUAAGCACUAUUGUAACCUCAAGUAGGUUAUGUGGUUGGUUGAGUUGCUUAGUCCAGCUUGUUAAGUAUUCUUUUCCCAGAAGGUCAUGAGUUCAAUAUUAGUACUGUAUUUAUUUCAGAAUAAAUUCUACUACUGUUACAGGUGAUAAGGGAAAUUUAUAAUGCAAAUUAUACAGUUUUCCCCUGCAGUAAUAGAGACAAGGUUGUUUAUGGCACCAGUAACACAAUUAACUCUUUCGAAAGAAAAAUUCCGUAGUGACCAUGCCUUCCAGAAUAUGCCAUCAAACAAUUCCUAACACCUUGCCCAUGCCCACUAUAUUCCUUAUUUUAUUUUGGAGCCAUUAUCAUGUGUUCCUUGCCUUUUCCAAGGCAUUAGGUUAAGGAAAGUACAACAAUUUCACAAUAUUACUUCUCCAUGACACCGACUACAUAUAUUGAUUUGGAUACCUCAUGUCUUAAAAAAUGAACAUUGUAUGAUCAAGUUAGUGAAAUCACUUAGGCUACAUUUCUUUUCAAUUUCCAUUCAAGAGUUUCUAUUUGUUUCCACACCCUUUUUUUGGAGCCCGAAACAUGAAAUGGACAAAUUCCCUUCUCUUAGCAACACAUAAAUAAAAAAAAACAAUAUUUUAUAGAGCAAUGUAUUGCAUCCUCACAUUUCCUUUAAUUUUCGAAGAAUUUGACAAUCCAUGGCGAUGCGACACAAUGGACUAACUAAUCGAUCACAAUCAAUCAAAUCAAACCAAGAGAAAUAGGUGGAUUGAUCAACAUUUACAUAUGGGGUUAAUUGAUCUUCCUAAUGAUCAAGGGAUUGAAUUAAUUCCAUGGUAGUGUAGUCAUAUCUACAUGUGCUAAAUGUGUCUAAUGGCACGCAUGGGCGCCCUAGCUCCUCAUUGGCAAACUCUAGCUCCAUGACUAUGCCCCUUUAUAGGUACAAUACAUCCAAUAAGUUUUUCUUGGUAGUCAUGGAUUGGCAUUGAAAGAUGCUAGAGAUUUAGAAGGGAAAAAGGAGAUCAUGGACUUGUGGUGGUAGUAGAGAUCGCAACGAAUUCACCGUUAGGGGUCACAACCAUGUCUUUGGGCCUGCGGUGUUAAAAUUUCAUCAUACCCGCCCCUGCCAACCACGAUGGGGCUAUAUUUUAUCCAUCCCCGCCCCUCGCACUAUGAUUUUAUUCCCGCGGUUACCCUCAUCCCCGCAUGUGCUCACCUUGCUUCGUCGCCGUCAGAACUUACGGGGGAGGCCGAAGCCAUGGUCGGCAGCUGGUAGGGGAGAGAAACGGUCGGGUGGCGGCUGGCGGCGGACGGCGUGCUGGUGAUGGACGAGGAGGGUGCUCGUGCUCCUUGCCGCAGCACCGCAUGCGAGGACAGCUAGAGCCGGCAAGCGACGUGCUAGCAAUGUACGAGGGCGGCGCUCGUGCUCCUAGCUGUGGCGCCGCACACGAGGACGGCUGGAGGUGGGGCUGCGUGCGAGGAAAAGGAGACGACGCCACGUGAGCGCACUUGAACGGCAGCGGUUGGGCGGCGGCACAGUGGACAGCCUGUUCGAUGGAUGUGGAGAUGGGGAAUGAGUUGAAAACUAAGGGUUGACCGGUCUAGGGUUAGGAAUAUAUACAUGGUCAUUGGGCCUUAAUUUUAUGGGCCAGGCAAGUUAUAUCUACUGAAAUAGUCUAAAAUUGGUCCCUAGGUACAAUAAAUGCGAGUUACUGCGGGGGACGAGGACGGGGGGUGGAGCGUCGUCCCCGCCACUGCCAUCCCCGAUGGUGAUGGUUUUUUUACCAUUUGAUUCCCCAUGGAUGGUAGAUAUCAACCAUCCCCAUCCCCUAAUAUGUGAAUUCACAGCGGAGAAUUGGUGAUCGGGUUCCCAUUGCCAUCUCUAGGCGGUAGGGAAAGGGUAUUGAGGUUUGUGAUUGUGACCAAUGGAGAAAGGGAGUGGCAUUUCAGCCAUUCUCACCAAAUAUAGGCGUGCCACUUGGACAAUACAACUUGGAAUUGCGGGAGAAGAGAAUCAACAACGUUAAGUUAUCAAUAGGUUAUGGGGGAAAUAAGGAGUAUAUUCAAUGAAAUAUCGUUAAUCAAGGUUUAGAGGCAUAAAAUUAAUGUUUUCCCCAUUUUGGAAAGCCUAAAAAAAAUCUUAUGAAGGUGGAAUAAAAUGCCCCUAGCAUAUAAAAAGCACCUCUACUAGUUUUUUGUUGUGAACUUUGGUAUUAUAUUAUUGUGAAAUCUAACUAUAUUAUUUUUUAUUGUUUAUAGUUAGUUUUGUUGAAGGUAAUUGGUGGGGUGGGGGCAGUGUAUAAAGAAGCAAAAGAUGAAGGGCAACAAGUUUAUAACUAUAACUAUAUUAUUUUUUGUUGUUUAUAGUUAAUUUUGUUGAAGGUAAUUGGUAGGUGUGGGGCAGUGUAUAAAGAAGCAAAAGAUGAAGGGUAACAAGUUUUAGUGAAAGGAAACUGUAGUUCAUAACCUAAUCAAACUAUCCUGGGUGCUAGGAAGGAUGUGUCAUAAUCCCCUGGCCUUCUAGUAGUAGAGGAGGGCCAUGUGGCUCAUCUUGCUGUGUUGGUGGAUUAGUCUCAUAUGGAGUGUUUGGAUAAGUUAAAGCUAACAUAUAAACUAGAGUACUAGACUUCAACCUUAAUACCUAUGGGUUCCUUACUCCUUUUACAUGAAGCGAGGAUGAAAGGUAAAUGCGGUGCUAUUCCUAAGCGAGCCUGCUCCUUGGAAGGGAUUUUGGGAGUGAUCAUGGGGGUUCAUGUAAUACCCUGGCCUGUAGUAGAGGCCCUUGUGGCCUAUCUUGUGUGAUUGUGGUGGAAUUAGACUAUCAUGGAGAGUUUACACAGAUUAAUGCCAUCAUAUAAAUCCGUGCGUCCCAACCAUAACAUCUCCAGGUUCUAUGCGUAAAGCGAGGAUGGAUGUGCAAGUGAGGUUCUAUGCGUAAAUGGGUCCACUCCUCAGAAGACCUGUGCAGAUUAGGGAGUUUGAUGUUACAACUACAUGUACACAUGAUUGAAAAGUGACAUUGCUUUCCAAUGAUCCAAGGUGGAAACAGAGGAUGAUCAGGUUUGAUUAUAUGCCUCAGCAUAGAAUUGCCCAUGAGGUACUACUGAAAUCAUGUGCACUUAAUUAUUUCAUUUCUUAGCAUAGAUCUACAGCGUUUGUGAUGAUCAUUAUCUUUGAUUUAGCCUGUAUCUUUCUAAUAAAUUAAUUAUGUGCCUUAAUGUUAAUGUGUUGCAUAUUUGUUGCCUUCUCUUUAUGUGUUGUUUGUGAUUGGACAUAUAAAUGCAUGAUUUAUUGAUAUGACCAUAAUUUGACACACUGAACAUCAGAAACUGGCUUUGCUGAAAAAAGGGUACAACAGACAAAUUGGCAUUUAGAAUGCAUUGGACAUGGUCCACUUAUUUGAUGUGACACAAGUAAUUAAUUUUGAUUGAGUGGUUCUGUGAAACAAUUAUCUCCUCACAGUUAUAUUUGUUAAUGAAGGUAAAGAGCAUAUAUUACAAAUAUGUGUAUUUUGUGGGCAUGCAUGAGAUUAUUCUGUAGCAUCAUGCACUGAUCAUUGAGGAGCCAAAUUGUACAUACAGAAAGACAAUGUGGAUAAAAGACAGGCAAUAAGAUCUUAGGUAGGUUCCUUUUCCUAGAGAUUAUACACAUGAAACUAUGUCCUGAGCAUCAAGAAUACUCCUGAACUCAUUUUUCUAACACAGAUUUCAUUGGUAUAAUUCAUGUAGAGUACAAAUUUCCGAUUUAAUAUUUGAGAAUUCAUCUUCAGAAAACCCAAUUAUCAUAUUGCACAUUCGGAUAUAGAACCAUACUCAAAUUGCAAAAAAAAAAAAAAUCCUACUAUUAUGGUCCAUGAACUGAAAGUUUGCCCAGUAGGUGUCAUUGUGGUUAGGUCAAUUAGUGGGUGUCUGUAGAGAGCACAUUUAUUUUGCAAAACUUAAAUCAGUGCAGAAUCAAUUUGUCAUAAAUUUGCUUGGAGUUCAGAAACAUUGUUAAAUUCACAUUUGUCAUGGCUCAUUGAAUGUAUAAAGUUUAGCUUUGUAUGAAUCGUGUUAUGACAAAGUUUGGAGAAAUGUUAAAACAGCGAUUAAAUGAAGGAUGUAGUUUUGUCAUUUCGUUCGGUAGGUGUUUGCAUGUAAUGAAUAAAUAUUCCACAAAUCAAGCUAUUUAUUCUUUUUGGGUUUCUGUUGACCUGUGUCUUGGAUGUUUUAUACACACAGCCUUCGUAUUGAGGGAUCCAUCUCAGCAUGAAAUUGAUCAAGAAGCUGUUCUUGUACCAGAUCACUACAGCAAACAAGAGUUCUGUUAACAUGGGGCUGUGCAUUUGGGAUUUUGAUUGAAACAAAACAAAACAGAGCAUUUCAGAUGUUUGUACCGACUUCUUCGUCUGAUGCAUCGGUUGGUAAAUAAAGACUGGGCGAUGCGAUUUGACAAUGAGUUCUAAGUGUACUGGUGACACAUGGUGAUCCAAAGAAGUACAAGCAUAUGCAUAUUGUCAUUUUGAUCAAAGUUUCUUUGUACUGGGCACCUAUCCCUGGUAUUGUUCCAUCUGUCAUUUUAUAGUAUGCUGUUUUCCAAGGACUGCCGCGUAAUCAGGUGUCUUUUCUGUUAGAUGGAAUCAUUUACUUCCUCUAUUUCAUAUUCUAAGAUGCUUUGUUUUUUUCCUGGUUAAACUUCAAUGUGUACUUUUUUUUUGAACGAAAACUUCUUUGUGUAUGACAAGUUUAUAGAAAAACAUACCAACAUUUUCAACACAAAAUAAAUAUACAAUCAAAAUGUAUUUAAUGUUAGAUCUAAUAAAACUAAUUUGGUAGUAUUGUAUAUGCAUUGACUCUUGAAUUCUUCUGGAUCCCAAGGAGUUGAUUCUGGUGUAUGCAUGUGCGUCCAUCAUCAUCAGCAUGUAUUCUCCAAAGCAAGCAACUGUUGGUGUCCCACUCUGAAAAUUAGAUUUACCCAAAGGCCAAGGCUGUCAACUGGUGCAAGUAUAUGUACUGAGAAAUCGUGUGAGCUAGUACAUCUUUGUGACAGAUGCAGUGGUCUUGAUUUUUCCUUUUUCAUUAAUUCCUGCACAUGUGAUUGGACAAGUAUGGAAACUACUAUCAUUCAUCUAGUAAUUUUUAUUUGCUUAUAUAUCAUCAUCAGGUAUUCUCUUGUUGCAGAUAGUGCAGUGUACUUGUUUCUUCAGACAACUUCCAGGGUUGUCUGCUGCUGCUUCUACUAGUAGUACUGCAGUACUGGGGAAAUUAAGUUACACAUGUACUGAAAUGGAUUUUUUGUAUACUGUAUAUGAUUGCAACACUACUGACUGGUA